rnacentral:rRNA from 1 species
GUCUUGUAAUUGGAAUGAUGGUGACCUAAACCCUCACCAGAGUAACAAUUGGAGGGCAAGUCUGGUGCCAGCAGCCGCGGUAAUUCCAGCUCCAAUAGCGUAUAUUAAACUUGUUGCAGUUAAAAAGCUCGUAGUUGAAUUUCUGCGUUAUCGAGUUAUUGACUCUUGUCUUUAAUCGAUUUCGCUUUUGGGAUUUAUCCCUUUUUACUUUGAGAAAAUUAGAGUGUUUCAAGCAGACUUUUGUCUUGAAUACUUCAGCAUGGAAUAAUAGAGUAGGACUUUGGUUCUAUUUUGUUGGUUUUUGAACCUUAGUAAUGGUUAAUAGGAACGGUUGGGGGCAUUCGUAUUUAACUGUCAGAGGUGAAAUUCUUAGAUUUGUUAAAGACGAACUACUGCGAAAGCAUUUGCCAAGGACGUUUCCAUUAAUCAAGAACGAAAGUUAGGGGAUCGAAGACGAUCAGAUACCGUCGUAGUCCUAACCAUAAACUAA